rnacentral:piRNA from 1 species
UGUAAAAGUUGCAUGGUUUUUAUGAGGGAC